UAAUUCAGCUUAGUACGAGAGGAACCGCUGAUUCAGAUAAUUGUUUUUGCGGCUGUCCGACCGGGCAGUGCCGCGAAGCUACCAUCUGCUGGAUAAUGGCUGAACGCCUCUAAGUCAGAAUCCAUGCCAGAACGCGGUGAUACCACCCGCACGUAUAGAUGGACAAGAAUAGGCCUCGGCUUAGCGUCUUAGCAGGCGAUUCCUCCACGGCGCUCGAAGCGCGUCGUGGUAUUUCGCGUAUUGU